GACGAACCGUGCGAACGUUGUUCGGAAUAACUGGGCAUAAAGGGCGCGUAGGCGGGCCCGAAAGUCAGGGGUGAAAUCCCACGGCUCAACCGUGGAAGCGCCUUUGAUACUGCGGGCCUGGAGGGAGGCAGGGGAGUGCGGAACUUCCGGUGGAGCGGUGAAAUGCGUAGAUAUCGGAAGGAACACCGGUGGCGAAAGCGGCGCUCUGGACCUCUACUGACGCUGAGGCGCGAAAGCCAGGGGAGCAAACGGG
rnacentral:rRNA from 1 species